UACGUAGGGGGCUAGCGUUGUCCGGAAUCAUUGGGCGUAAAGAGCGCGUAGGCGGUGCGGUAAGAGUGUUGUGAAAUCUCGGGGCUUAACUCCGAAACUGCAUUCGAUACUGCGGUGCUUGAGGACUGGAGAGGAGACUGGAAUUCAUGGUGUAGCAGUGAAAUGCGUAGAGAUCAUGAGGAAGACCAGUGGCGAAGGCGGGUCUCUGGACAGUUCCUGACACUGAGACACGAAGGCCAGGGGAGCAAACGGG
rnacentral:rRNA from 1 species